rnacentral:lncRNA from 1 species
UCGGAGUGGAAUUCCAGAAUGUUCCAUCAGGUUCCAUUCUUCAGUGAUGCAUGGUUGCAAAGCUGCAGCUCAGGGAAGAGCCCCUCCAAGGUCACUGAGUUGAGAAUCGAGAACCUGAGUCUGCUCCACUGGGGCUAACGAGCCAUGUAAGCGGGACCAUCUCCCUUUGCUGCACGGGGGCCACCUGCUGCCUCCUCUGUGAAACGGGAGAGCAUACCACCUGCCCUGGAGAGCUGUCCUCGAGAUGAGAUAAAAGCAUGGAUAUAAAAGGGUCUGGAAAUUUGGAGGUCUUUGCUUGUAUGAAUAUGUGUCCUUAUUAUCGCCAUGUGACGGGCUGGCAAGAUUGUCGCAGAAAUGAGCUUGAGGAAACUCCCAGGCAGACAAAGUCGGCUCAGUGGAACUCACAGAUGGGCCCUGCCCCGUCAAUGCCCCCGCUGUGAUAGGCUUCUACUUGGGUUCCUAUCUUUUGGUGGAUAGAUGUGCUAUGGACAGUGGAGAAGAUCACAGUGCUGGGCAUGCCAGAGCACUUGC